rnacentral:rRNA from 1 species
UACAGAGGGUGCGAGCGUUAAUCGGAAUUACUGGGCGUAAAGCGUGCGUAGACGGUUAUUUAAGUCGGGUGUGAAAGCCCCGGGCUCAACCUGGGAAUUGCACUCGAGACUGAAUAGCUAGGGUACGGUAGAGGGAAGUGGAAUUUCCGGUGUAGCGGUGAAAUGCGUAGAUAUCGGAAGGAACAUCAGUGGCGAAAGCGACUUCCUGGACCAGUACCGACGUUCAGGCACGAAAGCGUGGGGAGCAAACAGG